rnacentral:rRNA from 1 species
UACGAGAGGCCCAAACAUUAUUCGGAAUUACUGGGCUUAAAGAGUUCGUAGGCGGCAUGGUAAGUCGGGUGUGAAAGUCCAGGGCUCAACCCUGGGAUGCCGGUGGAUACUGUCGGGCUCGAGUCCGGAAGAGGAGUGUGGAAUUCCUGGUGUAGCGGUGGAAUGCGCAGAUAUCAGGAGGAACACCGGUGGCGAAGGCGGUUCUCUGGGCCUUACCUGACGCUGAGGAGCGAAAGCGUGGGGAGCGAGCAGG